AGCCCGGGCACCCACAUUUCAGGAAGUUUCUUCAGACAUUCGAGCUUUUAUGGCUCACCUAUGACGUGCCAGGAGCCCGCUCAGCUUGGGGACUGGAGGCACGGCUCUGGAUGGGACGGUGCCCCCUCCCUGCUGCCCAAGCGAAAUAUAAUACCCAUUCAGACAACUGCAUGCGAAGAUACAUGGCUCAGAAAUGACCGUCUCACCCAGGACACGAAAGGGAUGGCCAGCGCCCCAGCGGUCCCUUCACCGACCCUGCGCGUCGCACCCGCGCCCUCCCUGCAGAAGUGACCCCGUGCUGACACCAUCUUGCUUUCCUGUUUGGUUUUACGCCUCGGGCGUGAAUCCUACUCCAGUUCUGUUUUGUCUGGGUUUAAACUUUGUAUCAGGAAAAAAUAUAGUGGCUAUUCUUCGGUGUUUGA